UUUUAUGGAGAGUUUGAUCCUGGCUCAGGAUGAACGCUGGCGGCGUGCCUAAUACAUGCAAGUCGAGCGAACGGACGAGAAGCUUGCUUCUCUGAUGUUAGCGGCGGACGGGUGAGUAACACGUGGAUAACCUACCUAUAAGACUGGGAUAACUUCGGGAAACCGGAGCUAAUACCGGAUAAUAUUUUGAACCGCAUGGUUCAAAAGUGAAAGACGGUCUUGCUGUCACUUAUAGA
rnacentral:rRNA from 1 species